GUGGGGAAUAUUGGACAAUGGGGGGAACCCUGAUCCAGCCAUGCCGCGUGUGUGAAGAAGGCCUUUUGGUUGUAAAGCACUUUAAGCGAGGAGGAGGCUACCGAGAUUAAUACUCUUGGAUAGUGGACGUUACUCGCAGAAUAAGCACCGGCUAACUCUGUGCCAGCAGCCGCGGUAAUACAGAGGGUGCAAGCGUUAAUCGUAUUUACUGGGCGUAAAGCGCGCGUAGGUGGCCAAGUAAGUCAAAUGUGAAAUCCCCGAGCUUAACUUGGGAAUUGCAUUCGAUACUGGUUGGCUAGAGUAUGGGAGAGGAUGGUAGAAUUCCAGGUGUAGCGGUGAAAUGCGUAGAGAUCUGGAGGAAUACCGAUGGCGAAGGCAGCCAUCUGGCCUAAUACUGACACUGAGGUGCGAAAGCAUGGGGAGCAAACAGGAUUAGAAACCCGAGUAGUCC
rnacentral:rRNA from 1 species